rnacentral:lncRNA from 1 species
AAAUGACCUUCAUUAUGUGUUAAGCUGACAUACUGCAAGACAUUCUGUCCUGGUUGCCUAGAUGUACAAAUAAAGAUGAUAAAGUGACAGCUGCCUGUUUUUCUAGAUGGACAGGUACUUAUUCAGAAGGAGAAUGAGAAACCCAGUGUUCAGCAGGAUCAGUGAAAAUUCCUGUCUACUGAAUUCCACAUUAUUGAAGUGAAAAGCAUGUUCAGAUGAUGCUUACAAGAUGAAGUUUGGAAAAUGAGUGAUGCUUUUAAUCUGUGCAGAGGUGUUUCAGUCCUGUCUGCAUUUUCUGUGUGCUCUUGCAGAUCGAAUUUUUCAAGUGAUGAAGUCUCUAAGCUCAGAUAUCUUCUACCUGGGGAAAGUGACUCCAGCUGGCUCCUAAGAAGGCUGUCCCUUCUGUACCUGGAUGGACUUCAAGCCUGCAUAGCCAUUGCCUUCAGUGGGAUUGUGGGGUUGGUGGUUGAAGUUCUACUACCUUUACACCCUUUGUUUAUUAUGUAGCUGCACUGUAGGCCAUGGGGAAACCUCUGUGUUGUUCUCUCUACCCGUUUAUAUGAUGCUUUACUGAUGCAUUUCUGCACACACCUAUUUGUCUGGUCCUUUUUGAGCCAAGCAAGAGCGCAACCAGUACAAGCAGCUAAUCUUACAGUGUGGAAGCUUGGGAGCAGUGAGAGGUGAUGAUGCAGAGAGGAGAUGAUGAGCCACAAUGGGAGAAGGUGGAGGCUGCUGACCAAAAGCUGGGGCAGGGUCUGCUGCAGACAUUAAAGCUGUUAAUUUGUUUUCACCUUGAUUGUUUGGAGGUUGCUGUUGUUAAGCUGCCUGGCUGGUGUGGCUGGAAGCUCUGCUGGUUUGUUUUCUUGAAGGACGAGCAAGAAACCCAUAGGUAAACCAGAAACCUCAGUUUGUUACUUCCCAAUAUUUUUUUUUCCUUUGCUUGGCCUUGUGCUAGAGACUUUUGGGGUUACUUGAGCGGAAAGGUAGAGGAGCAGGAUUGGUCUGGGAGAGCUAAUAGAUGCACACAGGGUAAGUGGUGCUGAAUGCAGGGUGCUGGUGUGCCCUGCCCUUGCUGCUCACCUCGGCUGUAAUUACAGCAGGAGAUGUCCCAGCAGAGGAAGUUGUUUGUAACCCUGGUGCUGCCUUUCGGUGCUACUGGGUUGUUACUCAUCCAGGCUGUUGGAGAUCCAGUAUGGCAGGGAACUCAGGAAGUCCUGGAGUCUGGAAGCAGGCAAAGGAGGCAUCCAGCCAAACCAGGUGGUUUGCAUUUCUGUCACUGCUUUUCAGAGCAAGCUGGUUAUUAAAGCUAUCCCAGACAAAAUAGCACAGUUCCUCUUUUUCUCCUGGUGCAUCCCAAUGAAGUAUUCAUUCACGUUAGUCAUGCCAUUCUCUGAAAUCUUUAUAUGUGCAUAAGCAAGGCUUGACUUGUCAUUGAAGUUUAGCAGGUGCAUAGAUAUUAAAAGUUCUGUGUCUUCUGUAAUUUUUUCCUGAUGUAGCAAUUUGGCCUUUACCAAUAGCCUUAGGUUUAAACGGCACAGGAUAUAAAACGAGUUAGUUAUGCUGCUAUGCUUGUUUAAGAAUAAUUGUAAAAAGUGCCUUUGGGUUUCCAGGAACACACAUUAACAGAAGUUGCAUUUCAGUGGCUUUGCAUGGUACCUGGCUUUCACAGCGGUUCAGCUGCUAUUCUCAGAAAAAAAAUGCCCAAAAACCACUUUAGUGGGAGAUUGAUGGAAAUGCAGUGAAUUUUGCUAGUGUUUGGAUUUCCCUGCAUCAGCCUCAGGAGAAUUUGAUGCUGUGUGUCUGCAGAAGGAAUAUUGGUCAGGGAGCCUUGCCAUCUUUAAAAAGGCACAUAAAACCUGAGUCUGCCCUGAGGGGAGGGUAGCCCUAAGGACCAGUCUGUGGAUCUUGCCCUGUAACCAGUGGGGGCUGGGAGUGUCUGGUACAGAACUGGCUGCUCUGUGACUGAGGAGGGAGUCUGAGUGCCCAAAACACCCACAGAGCUGCUCCUCCCUGCCUGUUCAACAGCACCACUGACACACUCUGGCACAGCCCAAGCUAGUUUUUCUGGCAUGGUCAUGAUAUGUUAUGCCAGUGAUGUAGUGAAACUAUAAUAUGUAAUUUUACCUUGAAUACUGUAUAUACACCCUGUGCUAUACUGUCCUUGCUCUGUUGUGAUGCAGUAGCCAUGCAGAAUGAUGGGAUCCCUAACCCAGUGGGAUGGCAGAACAAAAUCUGUUGCUUCGAAUACUUGUUGCUGCAAAACCAUACUUUUUACACAGGAGAAGGUUGUAUGUGAUUUUUAUUUUACCAUAAGGUAUUUAUUUGUAAUAGUUGACUGCAGCUGUCUUUUCCAGUUGUCUUUGCAGUUUGAGUAUCAGAAGGAUAAGAUACUCAGCUGAAAUGUAUUUCACCUAUUGACUGAUCAAAUUUGAAUACCAGAGAGUGUUAAUAAAGCUUAAACAAUGCCAUAGGUAUGGUAAACA